ACACGACUACAUUAGAUACCCCGGUAGUCCCAGCCCUAAACGAUGCGCGUUAGGUGUAUCGGUGACCACGAGUCACCGAGGUGCCGAAGGGAAACCGUGAAACGUGCCGCCUGGGAAGUACGGUCGCAAGGCUGAAACUUAAAGGAAUUGGCGGGGGAGCACAACAACGGGUGGAGCUUGCGGUUUAAUUGGAUUCAACGCCGGAAAUCUUACCGGGACCGACAGCAACAUGAAGGCCAAGCUGGAGACUUUGCCGGAUUAGCUG
rnacentral:rRNA from 1 species